UGGUCUUCUUUGUCUCCUUUGAUCUUCGUUGGUUUAAAGUCUGUUUUAUCCUCCGGAUAGUAACAACCACCAAGCAGCUUCCUCAAGGGGAAGAUACAAGGAAGAACAGUGAUUUGGGUGAAUCUUUUUCUCCCUCCCCUGCCUCCAUCUGGUUGCAAAAAUCUUCCUUCCCUCCUUCCUUCCAUCUGUUGUUCAUCCAUCCAUCUGUCCAUCCGUCCAUCCAUCCAUCCAUCCAUCCAUCCGAUUACAUUGGCAAGGGAGAGAAGAGCCUGGUGCUAGCACUUUUGCUUCUUUGGUCUUUCAAUAAUGUCUUUCCCCUUGAUUAUACAUGAUAUAUUCCUGAGGAAGGAGCGCAUCACGGCUCUCCUAGCUCAGAAGAGCUGGGCAGGUGAGGGGUUGAGACAGGAGGCCCACACAGAGGUUGUUUCUGUGUUUCUGCUGGCUCAAGGUGAUGAGGCCCCCCGCAUGUCCCAGGUGAUGAUGACAUUGGGACGGCAAUAGAGGUGGUGACAGCAGGGGACCACGAGUCAGGCAGACCCGGGUUGCAUCCCAGCUCCGUAUCCUGCCCCUCUCCAUUGUGAUGUCUUUGAGUUUGUGGAGUUUGCUGUUUUAUCUUGUGAACACUUGUAAGAACAUCUUCUAGAAUAUGCUGUGGAAUGCCCAGCACCAGCACAUCCUUGGUGACAGCUGGAAGGAGGCCUCCUGAACAUGCACAGCAUUUGUUUUUGUUUUGUUUUGUUUUUUGUUUUUUGGGUUUUUUUUUUUUUUUUUUUUGAGACAAGGUCUCUCUCUGUUGCCCAGGCUGGAGUGCAGUGGCGUGAUCUCGGCUCGCAAGUCACUCAGGCUUCUAGGAUCUCAGAGUCUAAAAGAAAUCAGAUGAGGCCCAAAAGAAAUCAAGCAGAAGCCAAGAUUAAAAUACAGUUGAGAUCCAACCUUUUACACAUCAUACUCCUUCUGAACCUCCUGCAAAAGUCUUCUUGCCAUCAGAAGAGCCAUUACGCCUGCCACUCCCACACUCACCCCUGUGGACGCAGACCUCUUGGUUAUCCUCCCAGUAGACUACGAGUCCUAUGAGCUCAGGGGUGGUUUCUUAUUCAUCUUUGAGUAAGGAAUGUUCCCAGUGCCUAGUGCAGGGCUGGAAUGCAGUGGGUACGUAAUCAAUGAUGUUUCUACAAGUGAACAAAUGGAUGAAUGAAUGAGCGUGCAUUCUCAAUAACCCUUC
rnacentral:lncRNA from 1 species